CGAGAACGAAAUUACUAGCUGGGGCAAAUGUUUUUGGAACUGAUAAUAGAAUGCCUGGCUUUGGUUAGUGGGUCGACGUUUUCAGCCCAUUUUCGGCAGCAAUUAAUCUUGGUAUCUACUAAUAUGAUCAAUACGCAAGCAACUAUACGAAAACAGAAAAUAUGUUCGAUAAGAGUCGAUUUAGUACCCGGUGCUUUUAUAUGGCGGAACGGA